GUCGUAACAAGGUUUCCGUAGGUGAACCUGCGGAAGGAUCAUUAUCGGGGGGAGUGGGUGAGAGGGGAUGGUAGAACACCUUUGGGUUAGAGGCCACGCUCUGUGCCCACGGACGACCAUGUGGUAUGUGUGUGUUGUGGUUUGUCACUUGCAAUUGGAAGUGGCACUCACCAUUUUAACCGUUUUUUAUGUCUAAUACCCGCUCGAAGGAGCACAACACGUAAAACUGCCAGCAAUGGAUCACUCGGUUCUCGCAUCGAUGAAGAGCGUAGCGAAUUGCGAAAAGUAAUGUGAUUUGCACCAUUCGUGAAUCAUUGAAUUCUUGAACGCACCUUGCACCGUGCGGGCAACUGCACGGUCUGCCUGUCUGAGCAUUGAUUGGAUGUGUCGCCAACGUAAGGCGGAUGAUGGGCGCUGCAGCCUGUGGGCUGGCGUCUGCAAUGGAACAUGAGAGGAGGUGUGGCGAUGAUGGCGAGGCAGCUUGCUGCAGCGGAUCAGCACCACGACCACCCCCCAUACCAGAACCAACUACACAAUCUCAGAUCAGGUAGGAGUACCCGCUUAACUUAAGCAUAUCAGUCAGCGGAGGAAAAGAAACCAACAGGGAUUCCCUUAGUAACGGCGAGUGAAGCGGGAACAGCUCAGGCUGGAAAUCAAGCGGGCACAUGUGCGCGGCUUGACGUGUGGUCUGACGAGGCAUGCUCGGCGGCCGGUAUAUGCUCAAGUCCUCUGGAAAGGGGCACCGUGGAGGGUGAGAGUCCCGUUCGCAGCAUUUUGCCGGUGGUCAUGAGAGCGGUCUUCAGAGAGUCGGGUUGCUUGGGAGUGCAGCCCAAAAGGGGUGGUAUACGCCAUCCAAGGCUAAAUAUGAGCGAGAGACCGAUAGCGAACAAGUACUGUGAAGGAAAGUUGAAAAGCACUCUGGAGAGAGAGUCAAAGAGCACGUGAAAUUGCUGGCAGGGAAGCGCUGGGCGACAGUGCGCAUGCGCGCAGGAACAGGCUUGCGGCGGUGGUCUGCGGGCGGACACGAUGUGACCGCGUGUGGUGCUGCUGGCGGGGGCUGCAUGCCUGCGGGCGUGGGCCAGCAUCGGUUGUGUGGGGAGGAGGACGGUUUUGGGAGUGAUGCUUCGGUGUUGCUCGCAGGAUGCGGCACUCUCUGGGCGACCGAGGAAUGCAGGGCGGCUUUGCGGGUGCGGUGGCGUGGAUGGGGUAAUGGGGUCGGAUGACAGCAUGCUGACAUUCAGUUCCCGGUGCACCACCCACUCACCCUCCCUCGCCCUACAGAUGUUGGCGAAAUGGCGUCCAUCGACC
rnacentral:rRNA from 1 species